rnacentral:rRNA from 1 species
GGCGGCGUGCCUAACACAUGCAAGUCGAGCGAGGAGAUCCUUCGGGAUGAUCCUAGCGGCGGACGGGUGAGGUAACACGUGGGCAACCUGCCUCAUAGAGAGGAAUAGCCUUCCGAAAGGGAGAUUAAUACCUCAUAACAUUGCAGUUUCGCAUGGAACAGCAAUUAAAGGAGUAAUCCGCUAUGAGAUGGGGCCCGCGGCGCAUUAGCUAGUUGGUGAGGUAACGGCUCACCAAGGCGACGAUGCGUAGCCGACCUGAGAGGGUGAUCGGCCACAUUGGGACUGAGACACGGCCCAGACUCCUACGGGAGGCAGCAGUGGGGAAUAUUGCACAAUGGGGGAAACCCUGAUGCAGCCAACGCCGCGUGAGUGAUGACGGCCUUCGGGUUGUAAAGCUCUGUCUUCAGGGACGAUAAUGACGGUACCUGAGGAGGAAGCCACGGCUAACUACGUGCCAGCAGCAGC